GGUUGAUCCUGCCAGUAGUCAUAUGCUUGUCUCAAAGAUUAAGCCAUGCAUGUCUCAGUGUAAACUUUUAAACAGUGAAACUGCGAAUGGUGAUCUAGUGGACACACUCAGAUACAAAGGCAAUGAUUAUAGCAUGUGGAUGGUUCGCAGUUCGUGAUACAUGUCAAAUGGCUCAUUAAAACAGUCAUAAUUUAUGUGAAACUCUUUCUACAUGGAUAACCGUGGGAAUUCUAGGGCUAAUACAUGCGUAAACCCGCAAGGGAUGUGUUUAUUAGAUUAAAACCAUCACUGUA
rnacentral:rRNA from 1 species